rnacentral:rRNA from 1 species
GAUGAACGCUAGCGGGAGGCCUAACACAUGCAAGCCGAGCGGUAGAGAUUCUUCGGAAUCUUGAGAGCGGCGUACGGGUGCGGAACACGUGUGCAACCUGCCUUUAUCAGGGGGAUAGCCUUUCGAAAGGAAGAUUAAUACCCCAUAAUAUAUUGAAUGGCAUCAUUUGAUAUUGAAAACUCCGGUGGAUAGAGAUGGGCACGCGCAAGAUUAGAUAGUUGGUGAGGUAACGGCUCACCAAGUCUACGAUCUUUAGGGGGCCUGAGAGGGUGAUCCCCCGCACUGGUACUGAGACACGGACCAGACUCCUACGGGAGGCAGCAGUGAGGAAUAUUGGACAAUGGGUGCGAGCCUGAUCCAGCCAUCCCGCGUGAAGGACGACGGCCCUAUGGGUUGUAAACUUCUUUUGUAUAGGGAUAAACCUAGAUACGUGUAUCUAGCUGAAGGUACUGUACGAAUAAGCACCGGCUAACUACGUGCCAGCCGCCGCGGUAA